GGUUGACCUCGGAUCAGGUAGGGAUACCCGCUGAACUUAAGCAUAUCAAUAAGCGGAGGAAAAGAAACCAACCGGGAUUGCCUCAGUAACGGCGAGUGAAGCGGCAAGAGCUCAAAUUUGAAAUCUGGCCCCUCCGGGGUCCGAGUUGUAAUUUGUUGAGGAUGCUUCGGGUGCGGCCCCCGUCUAAGUGCCCUGGAACGGGCCAUCGGAGAGGGUGAGAAUCCCGUCUGGGACGGGGUGUCCGCGUCCAUGUGAAGCUCCUUCGACGAGUCGAGUUGUUUGGGAAUGCAGCUCUAAAUGGGUGGUAAAUUUCAUCUAAAGCUAAAUACUGGCCGGAGACCGAUAGCGCACAAGUAGAGUGAUCGAAAGAUGAAAAGCACUUUGAAAAGAGAGUUAAACAGCACGUGAAAUUGUUGAAAGGGAAGCGCUUGCGACCAGACUCGCUUCCGGGGUUCAGCCGGCUUUCGGGCCGGUGUACUUCCCCGGGGGCGGGCCAGCGUCGGUUUGGGCGGCCGGUCAAAGGCCCCUGGAAUGUAACGCCUCUCGGGGCGCCUUAUAGCCAGGGGUGUCAUGCGGCCAGCCUGGACCGAGGAACGCGCUUCGGCACGGACGCUGGCAUAAUGGUCGUAAACGACC
rnacentral:rRNA from 1 species